rnacentral:rRNA from 1 species
GGAUUAUUUAAACGAAUAUUUAAAGAAAACCUUGGUAGAAAAUAAAGGACGUUUCGUUACGAAAGUUUAUAAGUAGGCUUUUGCUUGUGAUUUAUAAGUUUCCUAAAGAGUAAACUCAAAAAGUAAUAAAUAAUGUGAAUUGAAUCAUCUUAGUAGCAUUAAAAAAAAUCAACCGAGAUUUCGUUAGUAGUGGUGAAUAAAAGCGAAUAAAAGCUAAAUUUUUAAAUUUAUAAAAAUCCAGAGAAGGUAAAAGUCCUGUAAUAAAUUGAAUAUUUAAAUUUAAAAUAAGUAAUAUGAAAAUUUAUUUUUUAUGAAUAAAGGAGGUCCACCUUCUAAGCUUAAAUAUGUUUUCUGACCAAUAGUAUACGAGUAUCGUGAGAGAAAGGUGAAAAAUUCCGUAAGGAUAUAUUUUGAAAUUAAAUAUUUAUAAGUUUUCGAAGUUUUUUUAAUAACGAAGUGCCUUUUGCAUAAUGAGUCAGUAAGUUUAUAUGUAUAGCAAGUUUAAGAAGUUAUUUGAAGACAUAAAAAAGUUAUAUGUAUAAUACCUGAAACCGAGUGAUCUAAUUGUAAACAAGUUGAUAAUUUUUUAAAAAAAAUUUGAAGACUGAACUCGUAUAUGUAGCAAAAUAUUGAGAUGAUUUAUAAUUAGGAGCGAAAGACUAAUCAAACUCGGAGAUAGCCGGUUUUUCACGAAAUGUAUUUAAGUACUACGUUAAUCAAAUAUUUAUAAAAUUGUGGGUAUAGUACAAUAUAAAUAAAGGUGUUUUAAACUUACUAAAUUUAUUUUAACUUUGAACCAUAAUUUCUAAUUUGUUAAUAGACAGUCUAUAGGCGAUAAGGUUUAUAAGACAAAAGGAAAACAAUCCAGAUCGAAUACUAAGAUUUCUAAAUUAUAACUCAGAGAAUAAAAUUUUAAAAAAAUCAAAUACUAAAAAGGUAGGCUUAGAAGCAGCUUUUCAUUAGAGAUAGCGUUUUAGCUCAUUAUUUUUUUUUUGAAAUUAAAAAUGUAUAGAAACUAUAAGUUAUAUAUCGAAGUAGCGAAUUAAUUUUUAAUUAAUGGUAGUGAAACAUUUUGUUAUUUUAAUAUUGUUGGCAAAACAAUAAAAUAAUAGACAAAAUUGCUAAUGCUGACAUGAGUAGCGAAAAUUACGUUAAAAAAUCGUAAUCAUUUUAUGUUUUAGGGUUUCUACAUAAUUUUAAAUAUGUAGAGUUAGUCGGUUCUUAAAAGGAGAAUGAAAAUUGUACUUGAUAGGAAUUUAUAAAUUAUAAAACUAUUUAUAUGUGAUUAUUUAUCAUGUAAAAGAAAAAAAAUAUAUUUUUUUAAAUAAGGUAGUAAAAUAUUAUACUUUUCUUCAGGAAAAAAUUAUAAAAAAAAUCCGUACUUAAUCCGACACUGGUAAACUUAUUUAGAAAAUUAAGAUGUAUGAAAGAAUUAUUAUUAAAGGAAUUCAGCAAAUUAACUCUGUACGUUAGCAAUAAAGAGAGCCUAAAAUUUAAUGGCAACAAAAAAAAGAAAGCAACGACUGGUUAUCAAAACCAUAGGACUCUGCAAAUUUUAUCAAUAAGUAUAGAGUCUGAUGCCUGCCCAGUGCUUAAAAAUAUAAAUUUUAGGUUUAUGCUUAAUUUUUAAUUCUAAGUAAACGGCGGUUCUAACUAUAAGAAUCCUUAGGUAGCAAAAUUCCUUGGCGGGUAAAUUCCGUCCUGCAUGAAUGGCAUAACGAUUGCUUUACUGUCUCUAAUAUAAUUUCAGCGAAAUUACAAAACCUAUGAAAAUGUAGGUUACUUGCAGUAAGACGGAAAGACCCUAGAUCCUUUACUUGUGUUUCAUAUUGUAAAAAAUUGAUUUUUAUGUAGAAUAAAUGGGAGUUAUUAACAUUUUUGAAAUACCAUUUUAAAGUUAUAAUAUUUUACUUAUUUAUAAUAUACAAUUAUAAAAACCGUAUGUGAUUGAAAGUUUACUUGGGACGAGUACCUCCUAAAAUGUAACGGAGGUGUACGAAGGUAAAUAGUAAUUACUUUUUAAGUUAAUGAAGAAUAUAAUGAUAUUAAUUUGCUUGACAAUUAGAUUUAUAAAUCAAAUUGGGACGUAAGUCAGUCAUAGUGACCCGAUAUUUAAGUGUGGAAUUAAUAUCGUUCAACAGAUAAAAGGAACUCUAGGGAUAACAGAUUCAUCGUGAUUGAGAGUUCUUAUUGAUAUCACGGUUUGAUACCUCGAUGUCGACUCAUCUUAUCCUGAAAUUGAAGAAGAUUUCAAGGGUCUAGUUGUUCGCUAGUGAAAAAGGUACGUGAGUUGGGUUCAGAACGUCGUGAGACAGUUCGGUCCCUAUCUACUGUAAGUAAGAAAAAUUGAAAGUUUAUUUUUAGUACGAGAGGACCAAAAUAUAUUAACCUCUGAUGUAUUGAUUGUUAAACCUUUAGCAUUGUCAAGUAGUUAUGUUAAUUUAGUAUAUGUACUGAAAGAAUCAAAAUGUACUAAAACAACUUUAAUUUAUUUUUCAAGAAUAAUCUGAAAGACGAUCAGAUAGAUCGGUUUAAAUAAUUAUUUAGUAAUAAAUUUUUUAUAAAUACGAAUUAUUCAAUAAUAUUUCAU